rnacentral:rRNA from 1 species
CAUAAUCAUUAGUCUUUUAAUUGAAGGCUGGUAUGAAUGGUUGGAUGAAAUAUUAACUGUUUCAUUUAAAAUUAUUGUAGAAUUUUAUUUUUUAGUUAAAAAGCUAAAAUUUUUUUAAAAGACGAGAAGACCCUAUAAAUCUUUAUAUAUUAUUUAUAUUGAUUAUAUAGAUUUUUAAAAUUAUUAUAAAAAAGUAUAUUUUAUUGGGGUGAUAUUAAAAUUUAUAUAACUUUUAAUUUAUUUAAUACAUAAAUUAAUGAAUUUAUGAUCCAUUAUUAAUGAUUAAAAAUUUAAGUUACUUUAGGGAUAACAGCGUAAUUUUUUUGGAGAGUUCAUAUCAAUAAAAAAGAUU